AAAAGAAAUCAAUCGAGAUUCCCUGAGUAGUGACGAGCGAAACGGGAACAGUCUAAACUUAUAAUGUGUCAAGCUGACAGGCGUUGCAUUAUAGGAGUUACACGAUGUAUCUACAGAUUCUGUCAAGAUCUGACAAUCCACUACUCUCUACAGGAAAAAUGGUCUGGAAAAGGCCAAUCAUAGAAGGUAAUAAUCCUGUAUCCGAAAUAGAAGGUAGGCGGUUGCGAUAUAUUCGUAAGUAGCAUCGGACACGUGAAAUCCGGUGUGAAUUCGGGACGACCACGUUCCAAGACUAAAGAGUGUAUGAGAUCGAUAGUGAACAAGUACUGUGAAGGAAAGGUUAAAAGAACCCCGGGAGGGGAGUGAAAUAGAACCUGAAACUUUGUGCCUUCAAAGAGUCGGAGCACCUUCGGGUGUGACGGCGUGCCUUUUGGAGAAGGAACCAACGAGUUAGUUAUAUGUGGCAAGGUUAAGGAAGUUAUAUCCGAAGCCGAAGGGAAACCAAGUCUGAAUAGGGCGACAUAGUCACAUAUACUAAACCCGAAACCC
rnacentral:rRNA from 1 species